UGAAGCAUUUUUUGCUUCCUAAUUACUUCCCUUGAACUACUCUCUAACGUUUGGAGGUACAAUGUGUAUUUAGUAAACAGCAAUGAACAUUUUCUGGCGAAAGAUCUCAUCAAAGUUUUACAGUCUGGAAGAAGAAAAGAAGGCUAGACAUCUUAAAUAAUGAAGACAGAAGGAUUUACCAUAUAAGAUGAAUAAAGAAAAAGUAAGACCAGUAAAUCAAAACAGGACCAAAUAGGCCAUGACUGAAGUUCAAGUGCAUUCUGCAAGAAAGUGGACAGCCUAGAUUUUGUUCUUUUCAAGGUUGAGAAGGGAUGCCAUGUUUUAGGUUUGAAACCAGGCAAGUGAAAGCUGAAUUCCAACCUACUUCAACAUACUUGUACCCACUGUCUUCAAGAUAUAAGUGUUUGAGAUGUCAAAGUUCAAAUAUAAUAGGAACAUGUUUAUCAUAUUAUGUGAUGGCAUCCUCAAAUCUUAUGCUGUAUAACAAAAUGUUUUAGAACUUAUCAAGCUUUAUCCUGUACCUUGCCAAAAAAACUCAACUCAGCAUAAUUCUAAUUAACUAAUUAUCAGUGUUACUUGUGUAUGUCAAUGUAGGUCAUUACUGGUACAUGCCUGACCAACAAAAACUCUAAAAUUGAAAAAUCAGAGACAAGGUUUUCAGAGCAGCAGAAGCAGUAGAAUUUGUCACGUAAAUCUAAUGAUAUG